rnacentral:rRNA from 1 species
GUUUGAUCCUGGCUCAGGACGAACGCUGGCGGCGUGCCUAAUACAUGCAAGUCGAACGAACUCUGGUAUUGAUUGGUGCUUGCAUCAUGAUUUACAUUUGAGUGAGUGGCGAACUGGUGAGUAACACGUGGGAAACCUGCCCAGAAGCGGGGGAUAACACCUGGAAACAGAUGCUAAUACCGCAUAACAACUUGGACCGCAUGGUCCGAGUUUGAAAGAUGGCUUCGGCUAUCACUUUUGGAUGGUCCCGCGGCGUAUUAGCUAGAUGGUGAGGUAACGGCUCACCAUGGCAAUGAUACGUAGCCGACCUGAGAGGGUAAUCGGCCACAUUGGGACUGAGACACGGCCCAAACUCCUACGGGAGGCAGCAGUAGGGAAUCUUUCACAAUGGACGAAAGUCUGAUGGAGCAACGCCGCGUGAGUGAAGAAGGGUUUCGGCUCGUAAAACUCUGUUGUUAAAGAAGAACAUAACUGAGAGUAACUGUUCAGGUAUUGACGGUAUUUAACCAGAAAGCCACGGCUAACUACGUGCCAGCAGCCGCGGUAAUACGUAGGUGGCAAGCGUUGUCCGGAUUUAUUGGGCGUAAAGCGAGCGCAGGCGGUUUUUUAAGUCUGAUGUGAAAGCCUUCGGCUCAACCGAAGAAGUGCAUCGGAAACUGGGAAACUUGAGUGCAGAAGAGGACAGUGGAACUCCAUGUGUAGCGGUGAAAUGCGUAGAUAUAUGGAAGAACACCAGUGGCGAAGGCGGCUGUCUGGUCUGUAACUGACGCUGAGGCUCGAAAGUAUGGGUAGCAAACAGGAUUAGAUACCCUGGUAGUCCAUACCGUAAACGAUGAAUGCUAAGUGUUGGAGGGUUUCCGCCCUUCAGUGCUGCAGCUAACGCAUUAAGCAUUCCGCCUGGGGAGUACGGCCGCAAGGCUGAAACUCAAAGGAAUUGACGGGGGCCCGCACAAGCGGUGGAGCAUGUGGUUUAAUUCGAAGCUACGCGAAGAACCUUACCAGGUCUUGACAUACUAUGCAAAUCUAAGAGAUUAGACGUUCCCUUCGGGGACAUGGAUACAGGUGGUGCAUGGUUGUCGUCAGCUCGUGUCGUGAGAUGUUGGGUUAAGUCCCGCAACGAGCGCAACCCUUAUUAUCAGUUGCCAGCAUUAAGUUGGGCACUCUGGUGAGACUGCCGGUGACAAACCGGAGGAAGGUGGGGAUGACGUCAAAUCAUCAUGCCCCUUUUGACCUGGGCUACACACGUGCUACAAUGGAUGGUACAACGAGUUGCGAACUCGCGAGAGUAAGCUAAUCUCUUAAAGCCAUUCUCAGUUCGGAUUGUAGGCUGCAACUCGCCUACAUGAAGUCGGAAUCGCUAGUAAUCGCGGAUCAGCAUGCCGCGGUGAAUACGUUCCCGGGCCUUGUACACACCGCCCGUCACACCAUGAGAGUUUGUAACACCCAAAGUCGGUGGGGUAACCUUUUAGGAACCAGCCGCCUAAGGUGGGACAGAUGAUUAGGGUG